GUGGGGAAUUUUGGACAAUGGGCGAAAGCCUGAUCCAGCAAUGCCGCGUGUGUGAAGAAGGCCUUCGGGUUGUAAACUGCUUUUGUACGGAACGAAACGGUCCGGGUUAAUACCCUGGGCUAAUGACGGUACCGUAAGAAUAAGCACCGGCUAACUACGUGCCAGCAGCCGCGGUAAUACGUAGGGUGCAAGCGUUAAUCGGAAUUACUGGGCGUAAAGCGCGCGUAGGUGGUUUUGUAAGUUGGAGGUGAAAUCCCCGGGAUCAACCUGUGAACUUCCUCCAAAACUGCAUGACUAGAGUACGGUAGAGGGUAGUGGGAUUUCCUGUGUAGCUGUGAAAUGCGUAGAUAUAGGAAGGAACACCAGUGGCGAAGGCGACUACCUGGACUGAUACUGACACUGAGGUGCGAAAGCGUGGGGAGCAAACAGGAUUAGAAACCCGUGUAGUCC
rnacentral:rRNA from 1 species